rnacentral:rRNA from 1 species
UACCUACGGGAGGCAGCAGUGGGGGAUAUUGCACAAUGGGCGAAAGCCUGAUGCAGCGACGCCGCGUGAGGGAAGACGGUCUUCGGAUUGUAAACCUCUUUUGCCGGGGAGCAAGGGCGGGGACGUGUCCCGGCCCGGAGAGUACCCGGAGAAAAAGCAUCGGCUAACUCCGUGCCAGCAGCCGCGGUAAUACGGAGGAUGCGAGCGUUAUCCGGAUUUAUUGGGUUUAAAGGGUGCGUAGGCGGGCUUUUAAGUCAGCGGUAAAAAUUCGGGGCUCAACCCCGUCCGGCCGUUGAAACUGGGUG